GGUGUAUUUUAAUUAACCUAAACCUUACUUUCGUGGUGAUCAGUCUUAAAUAAAAUCCUUUAAAUUCUUUGAUUAAUUGUGAAGUUCCACAAAGGAUGUCAGCUUAUCUCUAGGUCAAAUUUGCUAGGUUCAAAAUCCUGAUUUCCAAUAUUAAUCUUCAUCUUUCAGUUCUUUAACUAGUAUCUUAUAUCAUGACUAAGUGAGUACCAACACAUAGCGCGCAUUAAGAACGCAGAAUAUUGAAUCAAAGAACAAG
rnacentral:misc_RNA from 1 species